GGGCACAUAAUUCUCUCUCUCAUUUCUACAAAGACCAACAUCCUUUAUCCGAUUAGCUCCCAGAGAAAUUCUCUUUAACUCUAAAUAAUUAUUUAUUGCUUGUUCUUUUAGCUUUCUAUAAUUUGUAUAGAUAUCAGGCUUCGCGGAGGAAGUCACCGAAUCAAAUGUACUAGAAGAAGAUGAUCCUAACAAUGCUAUUAGCAUAAAUACAUUGACCAGACACAAGAGUAUCCAGCUGAGUGGCAGUCUAGGACCGAAAAUUAAUGAUAGUUUAUUGAGCAAAAGGCUUCAUGGACAAGUUUCAAGAAUCCCUUUCGCAAAUCGAGUUGAGAAGACCAGUAGAUGGUAGCUAUUGUUUCAACCUGAACCUCCAAAAACUAUGAAAACUAUAAUAUUUCAUUAGAUACAUCUCUCAUAUAUAUCACCCAUAAUCCAAACAAUUUCAACUGUCAUCUAUUUAAACCACUACCUAAACUCAACAUAAAGAAAUUCCCCCAAUCAUGCCAAACUAAUCAACAUCAUAAUUUGGCGGAAUUUCAAUCCCACAAGUUUUUACAGUAACCAAAAUAAAACAAGCAAAGGAAGGUCAGUGAAAAGCCCCUCCCAAAAGACUAUGACACAUCAACUACCAAUAAUCAAGAUUAGAACUUUACACAAUUCCAAACAAUGCCAAUUCUGAAGCAACUCUUUUUAUUAUUGUCUUAUAAACAAACAAUCCAAAUCCUCAUAUCACCUCUAAACAGCAAUAGAGAUAAACUUGAGUAUCCAAAUAAAGACGGAAGGGAAGCUGGAGCUUAGCGUCAAAGCAGAAAAUAGCAGCAGCAAAUCAACCCGGAUCGAUUCGAACCAAUAAAUAAAUUCUCGAAUGACGACUCGAACGGAACUUUGACAAAGCUCAAAGAUGGUGUUUGAACUGAUUAUUGAAACUGAUUUUUUAGCCCAUUUUUUGGCAGUUUUUAACUGAUUUUCUUUGCAUUUUUGUGGCGAUUUUAGCUGGAUUUUCACAUGAUUUUGUGGUAGUUUAAGUGGCUGAUUUCUACUAUAUUUUUGGGGUGAUUUUAGGUGAUGUUUUAGGGGGUAAUUUUGGACUAUUCAAGGGCUUCUUUAAUGGAGUUUUACAUGGUGUUUUUGGAGAUAAAGAAGAUGCUGAAUUGACGAGGAAGAAGAGAAAGUUGCAAUUACCCUCUAACUUUAAAGUUUCUUGUUUCUCUCCAUUCUUUUUUAGGGUGUGUUUUUAUGUCGAUGCCUGAAAGGAAGAGGGAAUUGGCGCUGAUUUUUGAGGCAUGGAGAAGAAGAAGUUCAGGGUGGGAUGCGUCGUUGCUGAAGGGGUAAAAGAUC
rnacentral:lncRNA from 1 species